rnacentral:rRNA from 1 species
CAUGAAGCUGGAAUCGCUAGUAAUCGCGGAUCAGAAUGCCGCGGUGAAUACGUUCCCGGGUCUUGUACACACCGCCCGUCACACCAUGGGAGUCGGAAAUGCCCGAAGCCGGUGACUCAACCUUUAAGGAGAGAGCCGUCGAAGGCAGGUCUGAUAACUGGGGUGAAGUCGUAACAAGGUAUC